GCCCCGGUAGCUCAGUCGGAUAGAGCGACGGUUUCCUAAACCGUAGGUCCCAUGUUCGAAUCAUGGUCGGGGCGCCA
rnacentral:tRNA from 1 species